UAACACCGGGACAACCCUGGGAAACUGGGGCUAAUACCGGAUACGUUCUUCUUGGGGCAUCCUGAGGGGAAGAAAGGUGGCCUCUGAAUAUGCUGCCGAUUAUGGACGGACCCGCGUCUGAUUAGCUAGUUGGUAGGGUAACGGCCUACCAAGGCGACGAUCAGUAGCCGGCCUGAGAGGGUGACCGGCCACACUGGGACUGAGACACGGCCCAGACUCCUACGGGAGGCAGCAGUGGGGAAGUAUUGCGCAAUGGGCGGAAAGCCUGACGCAGCAACGCCGCCGUGAGUGAGGAAGGCCUUCGGGUUGUAAAGCUCUGUCAUUUUGGUACGAAACCUAAUUGUUAAGUAGGCAAUUAGAUGACGGUACAGAAGAAGGAAGCCCCGGCUAACUACGUGCCAGCCGCAGC
rnacentral:rRNA from 1 species